GAUGAACGCUGGCGGCGUGCCUAACACAUGCAAGUCGAACGAAGAGCCUUACCGGUUUCUUCGGUUGCAGGUCUGGUGACUGAGUGGCGGACGGGUGAGUAACGCGUGGGUAACCUGCCCUGUACAGGGGGAUAACAGCUGGAAACGGCUGCUAAUACCUCAAACGCGCACGAGGAGACAUCUCCUCGGGUGAAAAAAUCCGGUGGUACAGGAUGGGCCCGCGUCUGCUUAUCUGUAUGGCAGGGUAACGGCGUACCAAGGCAACGAUCAGUAGCCGGGCAGAGAGGAUGAACGGCCACAUUGGAACUGAGACACGGUCCAAAAUCCUACGGGAGGCAGCAGUGGGGAAUAUUACACAAGGGGGGAAAGCGAGAUGCAGCAACGCCGCGUGAAUGAAGAAGUAUUUCGGUAAGUAAAGCUCUAUCAACAGAGAAGAUAAUGACGGUAACUGACGAAGAAGCCCCGGCUAAAUACGUG
rnacentral:rRNA from 1 species